rnacentral:tRNA from 1 species
AGGGAGACAAACAACGAUUUUGAUGUCUGAGUAUUUUAUUCUUAGGCCGAAAUCCUGUCACCUUAGGUCGAUCGGUACCUCAGUUUUGAAGUUAAGGAUCAGCAGUAAUGUUGAUCGCUUGAUGGAGAUUUUCAGUUCCUAAACUUUGUCUAGGUCACACCCCAAAAGGGAUGAGACUCCUGGGCCAUUAGCUCAGGUGGUUAGAGCGCACCCCUGAUAAGGGUGAGGUCCCUGGUUCAAGUCCAGGAUGGCCCAUUCGGUGUUGGGGGUUUAGCUCAGUUGGUAGAGCGCCUGCUUUGCAAGCAGGAUGUCAGGAGUUCGAGUCUCCUAACCUCCACUGACCGAACUUUGUCCCAUCUCCAGAAUAUGGAGUUGAGCUCGAUUGGAGUGUGAUUUAGAUUUGUCCGCUGGAUGACCCCAGCUUCCUGUCAUUCCGAUGAAUGCAGUCAAGCAAUUGACUGAACGCAUUGGCUGAUAAGAUGCUGGGCUCGAGUCAGAUGAUCAAGCAAUUGAUGAUUUGAUUUGUGCUCUAGCAGAACCUUGACAACUGCAUAGGUGAGUCUGGAAAAAACAAAGCAUCUUACAGAUGCAUUGUUUUGAAUCUGAUCUUCCGCAAGGGAGAUUGGAUCUAGAACAAUGAAAAUUCUUUUGAGCAAGAGCCGAGACUCUUGAGCGUUCUUUGAUUCGUGUCGAGCGAAUCAGAGUUUGAUUUUGUUUUAGGAAUCAACGAAAGUUGGUGAUUAAAACCUAAGAAUCUGCUUUCAACGGCGGUAAGCGUUCAGGAGGUUAAUU